AUUGAACGCUCGCGGCAUGCUUUACACAUGCAAGUCGAACGGCAGCGCGGGCUUCGGCCUGGCGGCGAGUGGCGAACGGGUGAGUAAUACAUCUGAACGUGCCCAGUAGUGGGGGAUAGCUCGGCGAAAGCCGGAUUAAUACCGCAUACGACCUGAGGGUGAAAGCGGGGGAUCUUCGGACCUCGCGCUAUUGUAGCGGCCGAUGGCAGAUUAGCUAGUUGGUGGGGUAAAGGCCUACCAAGGCGACGAUCUGUAGCUGGUCUGAGAGGACGACCAGCCACACUGGGACUGAGAAACGGCCCAGACUCCUACGGGAGGCAGCAGUGGGGAAUUUUGGACAAUGGGCGAAAGCCUGAUCCAGCAAUGCCGCGUGUGUGAUGAAGGCCUUCGGGUUGUAAAGCACUUUUGGCGGGAACGAAAAGGACUGUGCCAAUACCACGGUUCGAUGACGGUACCCGCAGAAUAAGCACCGGCUAACUACGUG
rnacentral:rRNA from 1 species